AACGAACGCUGGCGGCAGGCUUAACACAUGCAAGUCGAGCGCCCCGCAAGGGGAGCGGCAGACGGGUGAGUAACGCGUGGGAAACUACCCUUUGGUACGGAAUAACACAGAGAAAUUUGUGCUAAUACCGUAUGUGCCCUUCGGGGGAAAGAUUUAUCGCCGUAGGAUGUGCCCGCGUAGGAUUAGCUAGUUGGUGUGGUAAUGGCGCACCAAGGCGACGAUCCUUAGCUGGUCUGAGAGGAUGACCAGCCACACUGGGACUGAGACACGGCCCAGACUCCUACGGGAGGCAGCAGUGGGGAAUAUUGGACAAUGGGCGCAAGCCUGAUCCAGCCAUGCCGCGUGAGUGAUGAAGGCCUUAGGGUUGUAAAGCUCUUUCACCCACGACGAUAAUGACGGUAGUGGGAGAAGAAGCCCCGGCUAACUUCGUGCCAGCCGCCGCCGUAAAAC
rnacentral:rRNA from 1 species